rnacentral:rRNA from 1 species
CCUGCUAAAUAGCCAGGCCGGCUUUUGCUGGUCGCCGGCUUCUUAGAGGGACUAUCAGCAUCUAGCUGAUGGAAGUUUGAGGCAAUAACAGGUCUGUGAUGCCCUUAGAUGUUCUGGGCCGCACGCGCGCUACACUGACUGAGCCAGCGAGUUUAUCACCUUGGCCGGAAGGUCUG